rnacentral:rRNA from 1 species
CAGCAGUAGCCGCGGUAAUACGAAGGGUGCAAGCGUUAAUCGGAAUUACUGGGCGUAAAGCGUGCGUAGGCGGUGAGUUAAGUCUGCUGUGAAAUCCCCGGGCUCAACCUGGGAAUGGCAGUGGAUACUGGCUCGCUAGAGUGUGUCAGAGGAUGGUGGAAUUCCCGGUGUAGCGGUGAAAUGCGUAGAGAUCGGGAGGAACAUCAGUGGCGAAGGCGGCCAUCUGGGACAACACUGACGCUGAGGCACGAAAGCGUGGGGAGCAAACAGGAUUAGAUACCCCAGUAGUCCCUGUCUCUUAUAA